GACAUCUCCGAUCAGCCCCAGUUAAUUAAUGCUGAUACGAUUGGUGUUCUGGAGUUUACUCCAAUUAACAGGUUUGUCCCUUUGCAAUUCUUCAUUAAAAACAAGAAUUUAGAACUUUCCUGGAAAUCACUAAUUUCUCCUUUCUCUUUUUGGGUGUGGCUGGCCAUUUUCAUCUGUACUUUGGUGGCUGGAAUACUCAUAUUUAUAAUACUCAGUUACGAGAAAUCAACAGAAGACAAUAACAAAGGUUGGAAUAAAAGAAGAUUCGUUUGGUUUCUGUUCGGAAGUUUUCUCAAUCAAGGAGCCGAUUUGAACGUCGUUAGACGCUCACCCUCCAGAGUGGCCUUGGUCUUCUGGAUGCUUCCAGUUUUGAUCAUAUCUUGGUCUUAUGGUGGAACGUCAACUUCGUUUAUGAUUAACAAGGAAAAACAGUCAUUGCCGAAAACGUUCGAAGAAUUAGCAUCAGCUGUCCAGAAAGGAAAAUUUACUUGUACUGCACAUGACUACCCAUAUCUGAUAAACAUCUUUAAGGUGAGUUGUUCGUAACAUUUUAUUUCACAAAGAUGAUAUCGGUCUUGAAAAA
rnacentral:lncRNA from 1 species